rnacentral:rRNA from 1 species
AGUGAACGCUGGCGGUAGGCCUAACACAUGCAAGUCGAACGGCAGCACAGUAAGAGCUUGCUCUUACGGGUGGCGAGUGGCGGACGGGUGAGGAAUACAUCGGAAUCUACUUUUUCGUGGGGGAUAACGUAGGGAAACUUACGCUAAUACCGCAUACGACCUACGGGUGAAAGCAGGGGAUCUUCGGACCUUGCGCGAUUGAAUGAGCCGAUGUCGGAUUAGCUAGUUGGCGGGGUAAAGGCCCACCAAGGCGACGAUCCGUAGCUGGUCUGAGAGGAUGAUCAGCCACAAUGGAACUGAGACACGGUCCAGACUCCUACGGGAGGCAGAAGUGGGGAAUAUUGGACAAUGGGCGCAAGCAUGAUCCAGCCAUACCGCGUGGGUGAAGAAGGCCUUCGGGUUGUAAAGCCCUUUUGUUGGGAAAGAAAAGCAGCAGGUUAAUACCCAGCUGUUCUGACGGUACCCAAAGAAUAAGCACCGGCUAACUUCGUG